UUGUCCAAACUUCAGAUAUCCUCCUGACUGUUAGAUUCUCUGUGUUUUUACUGUGUCGCUCUUCCAUGCACUAUCUGCUACAGGUGACAAGUGAGAAAAGCCAGAUUGAGAGGACUGCGAGUGGCCUGAAUCAGACAAGUCCAGUGUUGGAUGUCCUCCCUGUGUUUGGACAGGUGAGCACUACGAAUCAAGUCACCGCAAGUCAUUUGGCUCCAGCUGUCAACAUUGAAACGUGUGUACAACAUCGCCUGGUGUGCACAAGAGUGUCCUCCUUAGACAAGUGCUUGCAGUGUCUGGGCCCUGUAUCUUCCUUCAAGUGGCUUG
rnacentral:lncRNA from 1 species